UGUGGUGGAGAGCUUGUGUUGUAGGGAGGUGAGCGCGUUUUGGUCGCUGGUCGAGGAGCUCACCCCGCGGCCAGCAGAUGUAACGUGCCUAACGCAGCAUCCUGGAUUUGAGGCAUGCUGCCUGAAUCCGUUUGUGCUAAAAAUAGCAUACACACACUUCAGGCAGGAUCAUGGUCCCCUUCAAGCCAGCACGCACGAGCAAUACCGGUACACUGCGUACAGGCAAGCUAUACGCUGGGCUUAUGGCGUUUUAGGGAGGAGUAUAAGGAAGCCUCUACCCUCUUGUGUGGUUUCAACCAUCAGACAGCAAUUCCAGAAUGGUGACCAGACCUAUCAGGGCUUUCAAUGGCCUUGUUUGGAUUAAAAUGAAUAAAAA